rnacentral:rRNA from 1 species
AUUGAACGCUGGCGGCAUGCCUUACACAUGCAAGUCGAACGGUAACAGGUCUUCGGAUGCUGACGAGUGGCGAACGGGUGAGUAAUACAUCGGAACGUGCCCGAGAGUGGGGGAUAACGAGGCAAAAGCUUUGCUAAUACCGCAUACGAUCUCAGGAUGAAAGAAGGGGACCGCAAGGCCUUGCGCUCACGGAGCGGCCGAUGGCAGAUUAGGUAGUUGGUGGGAUAAAAGCUUACCAAGCCGACGAUCUGUAGCUGGUCUGAGAGGACGACCAGCCACACUGGGACUGAGACACGGCCCAGACUCCUACGGGAGGCAGCAGUGGGGAAUUUUGGACAAUGGGCGCAAGCCUGAUCCAGCCAUGCCGCGUGCAGGAUGAAGGCCUUCGGGUUGUAAACUACUUUUGUACGGAACGAAAAGACUCUGGUUAAUACCUGGGGUCCAUGACGGUACCGUAAGAAUAAGCACCGGCUAACUACGUGCCAGCAGCCGCAGUAAAAC